ACGGAUAUCUCGGCUCUCGCAUCGAUGAAGAACGUAGCGAAAUGCGAUACCUGGUGUGAAUUGCAGAAUCCCGCGAACCAUCGAGUCUUUGAACGCAAGUUGCGCCCGAGGCCUCUUGGCCGAGGGCACGCCUGCCUGGGCGUCACGCCAAACACGCUCCCACCCCACUAACCUGGGGAGGGACGCGGCAUGUGGCUCCUCGUCUCGCAAGGGGCGGUGGGCCGAAGAUCCGGCUGCCGGCGUAUCGUGCCGGACACAGCGCGUGGU
rnacentral:rRNA from 1 species